UACGUAGGGGGCAAGCGUUGUCCGGAUUUAUUGGGCGUAAAGAGCGUGUAGGCGGUUAGGUAGGUCCGUUGUGAAAACUCGAGGCUCAACCUCGAGACGCCGAUGGAAACCAUCUAACUAGAGUCCGGAAGAGGAGAAUGGAAUUCCUGGUGUAGCGGUGAAAUGCGCAGAUAUCAGGAAGAACACCCGUGGCUAAGGCGGCUCUCUAGUACGGUACUGACGCUGAGACGCGAAAGCGUGGGGAGCGAACAGG
rnacentral:rRNA from 1 species